rnacentral:rRNA from 1 species
AGUGAACGCUGGCGGCGUGCUUAACACAUGCAAGUCGAACGAGAACGGGUUAUAGCUUGCUAUAAUUGUCAGCUAAGUGGCGCACGGGUGAGUAAUGUAUAGGUAGUAUGCCUCUUACUAAGGGAUAACAAAUGGAAACGUUUGCUAAUACCUUAUACUCCUUAUUAACAGAAGUUAAUAAGGGAAAGAUUUAUUGGUAAGAGAUUAGCCUGUAUUGUAUCAGUUAGUUGGUGGGGUAAUGGCUUACCAAGACUAUGACACAUAACUGGUUUGAGAGGAUACUCAGUCACACUGGAACUGAGACAAGGUCCAGACUCCUACGGGAGGCAGCAGUGGGGAAUAUUGCACAAUGGACGAAAGUCUGAUGCAGCAACGCCGCGUGGAGGAUGACACAUUUCGGUGCGUAAACUCCUUUUAUAUGAUAAGAUAAUGACGGUAUUAUAUGAAUAAGCACCGGCUAACUCCGUGCCAGCCGCCGCCGUAA